rnacentral:rRNA from 1 species
AUUGAUUUUAUGCUUGCAUAAAUGAUUUUUGGAUUCGGAGCGAGUGGCGAACUGGUGAGUAACACGUGGGUAACCUGCCCCAAAGCGGGGGAUAACAUUUGGAAACAAGUGCUAAUACCGCAUAAUUAGUUGGAACCGCAUGGUUCCAACUUGAAAGAUGGCUCUGCUAUCACUUUGGGAUGGACCCGCGCCGUAUUAGUUAGUUGGUGAGAUAAAAGCCCACCAAGACGAUGAUACGUAGCCGACCUGAGAGGGUAAUCGGCCACAUUGGGACUGAGACACGGCCCAGACUCCUACGGGAGGCAGCAGUAGGGAAUCUUCCACAAUGGACGAAAGUCUGAUGGAGCAACGCCGCGUGAGUGAUGAAGGUUUUCGGAUCGUAAAACUCUGUUGUUAAAGAAGAACAAGUGUUAGAGUAACUGUUAACACUUUGACGGUAUUUAACCAGAAAGCCACGGCUAACUACGUGCCAGCAGCCGCGGUAAUACGUAGGUGGCAAGCGUUGUCCGGAUUUAUUGGGCGUAAAGCGAGCGCAGGCGGUUUUGUAAGUCUGCUGUGAAAGCCCUCAGCUCAACUGAGGAAGUGCAGUGGAAACUACAAAACUUGAGUACGGAAGAGGAAAGUGGAACUCCAUGUGUAGCGGUGAAAUGCGUAGAUAUAUGGAAGAACACCAGUGGCGAAGGCGGCUUUCUGGUCCGUUACUGACGCUGAGGCUCGAAAGCAUGGGUAGCGAACAGGAUUAGAUACCCUGGUAGUCCAUGCCGUAAACGAUGAAUACUAGGUGUUGGAGGGUUUCCGCCCUUCAGUGCCGCAGCUAACGCAUUAAGUAUUCCGCCUGGGGAGUACGACCGCAAGGUUGAAACUCAAAGGAAUUGACGGGGGCCCGCACAAGUGGUGGAGCAUGUGGUUUAAUUCGAUGCUACGCGAAGAACCUUACCAGCUCUUGACAUCUUCUGCCAACCCAAGAGAUUGGGCGUUCCCUUCGGGGACAGAAUGACAGGUGGUGCAUGGUUGUCGUCAGCUCGUGUCGUGAGAUGUUGGGUUAAGUCCCGCAACGAGCGCAACCCUUAUUAUUAGUUGCCAGCAUUUAGUUGGGCACUCUAGUGAGACUGCCGGUGAUAAA